AUACGUAGGUGGCAAGCGUUGUCCGGAAUUAUUGAGCGUAAAGCGCAUGUAGGCGGUUUGGUAAGUCGGUCGUGAAAAUGCGGUGCUUAACGCCGUAUGGCGAUUGAAACUGCUGAACUUGAGUGCAGGAGAGGAAAGGGGAACUCCCAGUGUAGCGGUGAAAUGCGUAGAUAUUGGGAAGAACACCGGUGGCGAAGGCGCCUUUCUGGACUGUGUCUGACGCUCAGAUGCGAAAGCCAGGGUAGCGAACGGGAUUAGAUACCCCGGUAGUCCUGGCCGUAAACGAUGGGUACUAGGUGUGGGAGGUAUCGACUCCUUCCGUGCCGGAGUUAACGCAAUAAGUACCCCGCCUGGGGAGUACGGCCGCAAGGCUUAAACUCAAAUGAAUUGACGGGG
rnacentral:rRNA from 1 species